CUUAGCUCUUGGCACCGUCCUGACCAACGUGACCCAGGAUAGACCGUUGCCUUGGCCUUGGCACCCAGAUCUGUGCCAAGCCUUUGGGUGCCAGGAGCCGGUGAAGCAGGACGAAUGCGGGAAGGAGCUCUAUAAUGUCCAGACCCAUCUGUGCUGCGAUAACACCACACACUGGAAGGUGACGGAAAAACCCAGCCCGACUUACGACUGCUGCGGCCUCGAAGUCUACGAUCAGAAAACGCAGGAGUGUUGCGAAGACCUCAGCAUAAAGCCCAAGCAGCACUGCAGACAAAAGGGCAAGCAAGCCGUCCCCUACAGAUCAGGUGCAGAGAGAUGCGGCUCUCUCUCAGCAGCGCCAGGUGCCAAGGGAAGAAACGGAUGAUGCAGAAGACAAGGGUCCCGGAGGCAGGAGGUCUCAGCAGGGGGAGGG